rnacentral:lncRNA from 1 species
GUCCAGCUCUCCUGCAGUGAACAGGGACAACCACAGCUAGAUCAGGUUGCUCAGAUCCUGGUCCAGCCACACUUAGGAAGUCUCCAGGGAUGGGGCAACAACCACAUUUCUGGGGAGUCUGUUCCAGUGCCUCACCACCCUCAACGUAAAAGACUUUUUCCAUAUAUAUAACCUAACUCUCGUCUCUCUAAGUUUGAAACCAUUUCUCCUUGUUCUAUCACCACAGACCCCGUAGCUCCCCUUCAGAUACUGAAAGGCUGUUAUCAGGUCACCCUGCAGCCUUCUCUUCCCCAGACUGAACAGCCCCAGCUCUUUCAGCUUGUCCCCAAGGGAGAGGUGUUCCAUCCCUCGGAUCAUUUUUGUGACCCUUAACUGGACAUGGCUCCAACAGGUCUAUGUCUCUUCUGAACUGAGGACUUCAUACGUGGACACAGUACUCCAGGUGAGGCCUCACCAUCGCAGAGUAGAGGGGAAGGGUCACCUCCUUGAACCUGCUGGCCAUGUUUCUUUUGAUGCAGUCCAGGAUACAAUUAUCUUUCUGGGAUGCAAAGGCACAUUGCUGGCCCAUGUCCAGCUUCCAAUCCACCAUUACCGCCAGGUCUUUUUCGGCAAGGCUGCACUCAAUCCUUUCAUUCCCCAGCUUGUAUUGGUAGUGGAGGUUGCCUUAACUCAAGUGCAAAACCAUGCACUUGAUUUUAUUUAACUUCAUGAAGUUCUCCUGGGCCCACUGCUCAAGAUUGUCUAUGUUCCUCUGGAUGGCAUCCCAUCCCUCAGGAUGUUGACUGCACCAUACAUCCUGGUGUCAUCUGUAAACUUGUUCAAGGUGCACUUGACCCCACUGUUGAUGUCUCUGAUGAAGAUAUUAAUAAAGGUAGGUAUCUCUGUUGCCAUUCACUAUUUCUGGCAUGGAUUUAUAAAGCAUACCUGAGAAACUUUUUUUCAGUGCCUAUUUCUCCCCAUAGAUUCCACCAUGACGACAAGUCUACAAACCGAACUGUAGGUACAUUUCUGCAAAAAUUUAACAUUAAGUGCUAAUUAGAUCCUUCUCCAGCAAACCGGACUUAAUUUUCUGAUCUUGCUGUCCACUUUCUUUGUUAUCUAGUCCUUGUGUAUUGUUUCAGGGAUGUUUCCUUAAUUUUUUUUAUGGCAUUGUAAAAUACAAAAUAUUUCAGAACUCUAAGACUUAUUCUGGAAAAGCAGUGUAACAGAAGUUUUUAGCCAACUAGCACUAUUUCAGAUAGAGAUUACACAGUUAUGACUACUUGGUGUUCAACAGUGCAGCACAUGGCUAUUACACUUGGCUUUGAGCUGUCCAACUCUCCUGUUUGACUUACAUGUUUGUUAAAACUGAAAAUGAUGACCACAAAAAAUGCAUCAAUAAAUGCAUUAUCACUGAAAGAAAAUGGGAAAAAAAAAUUAUCUG